GCACAACAUCUUCAAAUGUGAAAAAUGGUUUCAUGUUAGUUGCCAUCAGGACGGCCGAAACCAUACACCUGCGGAGUAAUAACUUCAAGGAAAUCAUGGCUGAAAUCGGAUGGAUGCUUGACGAGGUUUUGAUUUUUCUUGGUAAGAACUGAUUCCAUUAGUGAAUUGGGACAGAGUUGCCUUUUUAUAUGCAGAGACAACAUGAAAACACAUGACAUAUGAAACAUAGCUAAAGAAAACCUUACGCUUCCAAAAGCAUAACUCUCACAUUUCCCAAGCAAAAUUUAAGGGCAAUAACUAAUUGAUGAGUUUGUCUUUGUUGCAUAUGAUUCCAUUAUUUCAUCCAGGAAUGCUUCUUGC
rnacentral:misc_RNA from 1 species